AUACGAAGGGGGCUAGCGUUGUUCGGAAUUACUGGGCGUAAAGCGCGCGUAGGCGGAUUGGUCAGUUAGGGGUGAAAUCCCAGGGCUUAACCCUGGAACUGCCUCUAAUACUGCCAGUCUUGAGUUCGGGAGAGGUGAGUGGAAUUCCUAGUGUAGAGGUGAAAUUCGUAGAUAUUAGGAAGAACACCAGUGGCGAAGGCGGCUCACUGGUCCAAUACUGACGCUGAGGUACGAAAGCGUGGGGAGCAAACAGGAUUAGAAACCCCAGUAGUCC
rnacentral:rRNA from 1 species